UCUUACAGCCACACCGGCCUGAGUACGCCUGAUCUCGUCCGAUCUCGGAAGCUAAGCAGGGUCGGGCCUGGUUAGUACUUGGAUGGGAGACCGCCUGGGAAUACCAGGUGCUGUAAGCU
rnacentral:rRNA from 13 species